rnacentral:tRNA from 1 species
GGGAAUAUAGCUCAGUUGGUAGAGUGCUUGCCUUGCAUGCACAAGGCCCUGGGUUCAAUCCCCAGUAAACUCC